AUGGACGGCGCCGGGAGGACGACGACGACGGCGGCGGCGUGCGUGACCGGCGCGGGCGGCUUCGUCGCCUCGUGGCUCGUCAAGCUGCUCCUCUCCCGCGGCUACGCCGUCCACGGCACCGUCCGCGACCCCGGCGACGCCAAGAACGGGCACCUGGCGGCGCUGGACGGCGCCGCGGAGAGGCUGCGGCUGUUCAAGGCCGACCUGCUGGACUACGGCAGCAUGGCGGCGGCCAUCGCCGGCUGCGACGUCGUCUUCCACGUCGCCUGCCCCGUCCUCGCCAACCACACCCCCAACCCCGAGGCUAAUUUAAUAGCCCCUGCUGUGACCGGCACGAUGAAUGUCCUGAAAGCUUGCUCUGAGGCCAAGGUCAAGAGGGUUGUGAUGGUGUCUUCCGUCGCUGCUGUCAUGACGAACCCCAGCUGGCCUGAAGGCAAGCCCAUGGAUGAAGACUGCUGGUCUGACGUCGACUACUGCAGAACCACAGAGAAUUGGUACUACCUUUCCAAAACACUGGCAGAGCUUCAGGCCUUCGAUUACGCAAAGAGAAGCGGACUAGAUGUCGUGACAGUCUGCCCGUCGCUGGUGAUCGGGCCCUUGCUGCAACCUACGGUGAACGCGAGCAGCUCUGUCAUAGUUGAUUUCUUGAAAGGCGAUAAUGAGGUAAAGAGCAAGAUCAGAAACUUCGUGGAUGUUCGGGACGUUGCCGAUGCUCUCAUCUUGGUGUAUGAAACCCCGGAGGUCUCUGGACGCUAUAUAUGCAGUUCACAUGCAAGGAAGGUCUCUGAUGUCAUAGACCUGCUGAAGAGCAUGUAUCCUGCUUACAAAUUUGCCAACAAGGUUGUCCAAGUGGAUGACGAACCCUCGUUUAGUUCAAGGAAGCUUGAGAUGCUGGGCUGGAAAACCAAGCCACUUGAAGAGACCCUCAGGGACAGUGUCGAAUCAUACAAGGCUGCAGCUGUCUUGAGUUGA
rnacentral:rRNA from 1 species